rnacentral:rRNA from 1 species
AUCGAACGCUGGCGGCAUGCUUUACACAUGCAAGUCGAACGGUAACAGGUUAAGCUGACGAGUGGCGAACGGGUGAGUAAUGCAUCGGAACGUGCCCGGUCGUGGGGGAUAACGCAGCGAAAGCUGCGCUAAUACCGCAUACGAUCUGCGGAUGAAAGCGGGGGACCGUAAGGACUCGCUCGAUCGGAGCGGCCGAUGUCAGAUUAGGUAGUUGGUGGGGUAAAGGCUCACCAAGCCAACGAUCUGUAGCUGGUCUGAGCGGACGACCAGCCACACUGGGACUGAGACACGGCCCAGACUCCUACGGGAGGCAGCAGUGGGGAAUUUUGGACAAUGGGCGAAAGCCUGAUCCUGCAAUGCCGCGUGCAGGAAGAAGGCCUUCGGGUUGUAAACUGCUUUUGUACGGAGCGAAAAGGUCUCCUCUAAUACAGGGGGCUCAUGACGGUACCGUAAGAAUAAGCACCGGCUAACUACGUGCCAGCAGCCGCCGUAA